rnacentral:sRNA from 1 species
UUCCUUUUUUCCCUCUGAGCCAGUGUUUUUCUUUGCAGCCCUGGCAGUCCUAGAACUUGCUUUGUAGACCAGGCUGGCCUUGAACUCUGAAGGCACAUGCCACCACCACCCAGUUUAAGAACACCAUUUCUAAACUUUAUUUCUUGGGUGCAUAUAAAUGUUGUCCUCAGCAUGGAGAUUGCUCCUUAGCUGUAUAUCAUGGAAUCUGAGCUCACAGAGAAGGCGUCAGCAGCAGCUUCAGGAGCAUGGGCCUUUAUGGCAAGUCUCUUUCCUAACAGCAGAGUUGGGCUUACUGGCUCCCAAGGGGAAAGAGGAAGGCACACUCUGCAAACCAAAUGGCACCUAGCAAACCAGGCACUGGCUGCUGCUGCUGCUAUUGUACCGCUAUUGACUACAUGCUUGUCAUUUUGCUCACCCCAUGUUCUCUGACAGGCUCUAGAGAAGGGGCUGCCAGGUGAGGUGAGAAUUUGCUAUCCUACCAUCUCACUGGGUGUUUAAGGGGCCAGGGCCUACGGAUACUAUCUUAGGUGGUCUUCCGUCUGAAAUGGCUUGCUGCUUUAUUCAGCAAGGGGCUUCUCUUCCAUUAUUGUCCCUUCCCGUGAGAGCACCCCAUGCAUUUGGAAUAACUACCAGUGAAGCACGUAGUUUAUGAUUCUGCUUCAAAGUUAGAUCUAGGUUUGCUCUAGUGCUUGCUAGGCUGCAUGACUGCGGUUACAUAAACACAGGUAACAGUAGUACCUAUGUCAACUAAAAUUCAGUGGAGUGACGCAUGUUAAGGUCUGGCAUGGUGCCUAGUUCACAGUGGACAUUCAGCAUACACGUCUGCAGCUACAGGACAAAGAGUGGAAUUUACCAGAUCAUCUGAGAAUAGGGAUCUUUGGUUUUGUUUUGUUUUUUUAAUAAAAAGUUAACAAUUAUUUUCUGUGUGAGUACGUGUGUAUCACAGCACGCAUAUGGAGAUCAGAGGACAACCUGAGGGAGUCAGUCCUCUCUCCUUCCACCAUGUAGGUCCCUAGGAUUGAACUCGGUCAGGCUUGGCAGUAAGAGGUUUUACUUGCUGAGCUGCUGCACCCACUUUUUUUUAAAAGAUGGGAUUAGCCCAGGCUGGCCUUAGCCUCUUGCCUCUGCCUCCCAAGUGUGAGGUUAUACCCGUAAGUCAUAAAUCUGGUGAACAGUGAUCCUUUAAUCAUCAAAAAGAGAAAAAAUUAUAAGUAAAAACAUCCUUCGGUGCACUGGAUUACAAAAACAGACCGUAGUGCAGGGGAAGGGGCUGUCUAUAUAUACACAUGGACAGAUGGCCACAACAGCUUUAGGUUAAGAAAAAUAAACCAGAAUAUGAGCAAGUAGCCCUCCUCUAUUCAUACUUUAUUUUAAAUGAAGCUAAGGCUGGAGUUGUGAGAAAUUAUUUUAAAAAUUUGUAUGAACAUGUGAGUGUACAGGUGCAUUUGUGUGUGGGGGCACAUGUGAGUGUGCAGGUGCAUUUGUGUAUGGGGGCACAUGUGAGUGUGCAGGUGCAUCUGUGUAGGAGAGCGGCACAUGUGAGUGUGCAGGUGCAUGCAGCCAAAUGAGUGCAGGAGUCAGAAGAGGAUGGCAGGUACCAUCUUGUUACUUCUUACCUUAUUCUCUUGAGACGGGCUUUCUCACUGAAUUGGACACCCAUUCUUUGGGCUCCAGUGGGGUGGGGGAACACAUAGCUCCUGGGAUCUGUCUCUCUCAGCCUACCUAGUGUUGGAGUUAUAUGUCUGGCUUUUUAUGUGGGUGUUGAGUAAAUCGUAGGUCAAAGUACGUGCAGUCAGCACCCUUAGCAGCCAAACCAUCUCCCCAGUCCUGUGAAAGGUCAUUUAAACAUUUUUAAAUUUCUUUUUGUGUUUUUGUGCAUACAUAUAGACCAAAAGUAAAGUUUUUCUAAACAGGCUAAAACUGAAUUUUUUUUUUUUUAUUUUUGAGAGCUACUAAACUGAGUAGAGGAGGUAGUUAAUGCUAGGCUAGUGUGAGAACUUUGAUACCCGGCUAGCUCUUCUUAAGACAGAGACUGUCAGGGGAGGAGGGGAUGGAGUUAGCAGUUCCUGCAUGCUGCUACCUCAGCACACCCAACCAGGCAGUCGCCUUCUGGUCCCCGCCACCAGCACACCCUAACACACAGGCCAGCAGAGCCUCUUUGAUAAAUAUCGACCGAAAUAGAGCAAUCAGCUGAAAACCAUUUGCUGAGCUGUCUCACCGCCCUGGGCUCAGGGCUUUCCUUUAUUCAUUUAUCAUGAUAUAUGGCUUUGGCCAACAUACACACAGGAGAGAAAUUGUUGACAUGUGGAACCCAAGUACUGAAAAUCUUUCAUCCCUCCCCACCCCCGUCUGUUCACCAAAUAAGUUUUGUUUAUUUAAAGACUACAGAGGAUUUGGCUGUUAAGAACCAAAUGCCUUUGGAGUGGAGUUACAACAUAAUUUAUCAUUUCCUCUGUUUAUUAAAAAAAAAUCCUGCAUCUUUGAGCAGCACAUUUGCAGCGAGAAUUCUGGUCACUCGCAGAACUGAACCCUGGCAAAGCCUCCACCUUGUGGCUCCAGAAGCUCUCCCCUGGCAGCCUAACUUCCCAUUUGUCUCUGGCUUUGAGGGUAAGUAAAUGGGGUGGGAGGGCAUGUUAGUUCCUUUCAUCCCUGGCCUAGUCCUAAUUCGCACUGGCUAUUUCCCAGCAGGUCCCACUAGUGUGGGCAGAGGCAGCAGCAGCAGCAGCUUUAGUAGCUAGCGCAGGUUCCUUGAGCCACAUCUCACCACCUAGACCUCGAACAGACCUUCCUGCUUGGGGCACUGUGAGGGCCACUCAGUUCAGUGUAGUGGCACUGCUCAAAGCCAGCAGUCACAGCCCAGCAGCCUCUGUGUUCUAGCACAUAAUAGGGCACGGGAGAAACAGCUGGUGCCCACUGCGUCCUGACAGGACAGCAGGUGGCAGUGGCUU